rnacentral:rRNA from 1 species
CGCGUAGGCGGUUUUGUCGGUCAGAUGUGAAAGCCCAGGGCUCAACCCUGGACGUGCAUUUGAAACAGCAAGACUUGAGUACGGGAGAGGAAAGCGGAAUUCCUGGUGUAGAGGUGAAAUUCGUAGAUAUCAGGAGGAACACCGAUGGCGAAGGCAGCUUUCUGGACCGAUACUGACGCUGAGGCGCGAAGGCGUGGGUAGCGAACAGGAUUAGAUACCCUGGUAGUCC